rnacentral:rRNA from 1 species
CCGCUCAGAUUGAACGCUAGCGGGAUGCCUUACACAUGCAAGUCGAACGGCAGCACGGACUUCGGUCUGGUGGCGAGUGGCGAACGGGUGAGUAAUGUAUCGGAACGUGCCUAGUAGCGGGGGAUAACUACGCGAAAGCGUAGCUAAUACCGCAUACGCCCUACGGGGGAAAGCAGGGGAUCGCAAGACCUUGCACUAUUAGAGCGGCCGAUAUCGGAUUAGCUAGUUGGUGGGGUAACGGCUCACCAAGGCGACGAUCCGUAGCUGGUUUGAGAGGACGACCAGCCACACUGGGACUGAGACACGGCCCAGACUCCUACGGGAGGCAGCAGUGGGGAAUUUUGGACAAUGGGGGAAACCCUGAUCCAGCCAUCCCGCGUGUGCGAUGAAGGCCUUCGGGUUGUAAAGCACUUUUGGCAGGAAAGAAACGUCA